rnacentral:rRNA from 1 species
UACGAAGGGGACUAGCGUUGUUCGGAAUCACUGGGCGUAAAGCGCACGUAGGCGGAUGUGUCAGUCAGGGGUGAAAUCCCGGGGCUCAACCUCGGAACUGCCUUUGAUACAGCACGUCUCGAGUCCGGAAGAGGUGGGUGGAAUUCCUAGUGUAGAGGUGAAAUUCGUAGAUAUUAGGAAGAACACCGGUGGCGAAGGCGGCCCACUGGUCCGGUACUGACGCUGAGGCACGAAAGCGUGGGGAGCAAACAGG